UACGUAGGGUGCAAGCGUUGUCCGGAAUUAUUGGGCGUAAAGAGCUCGUAGGCGGUUCGUCGCGUCGGCUGUGAAAUCCCGGAGCUCAACUCCGGGUCUGCAGUCGAUACGGGCGGACUCGAGUUCGGCAGGGGAGACUGGAAUUCCUGGUGUAGCGGUGAAAUGCGCAGAUAUCAGGGAGGAACACCGGUGGCGAAGGCGGGGUCUCUGGGGCCGAUACUGACACUGAGGAGCGAAAAGCUGGGGGAGCGAACAGG
rnacentral:rRNA from 1 species